rnacentral:lncRNA from 1 species
GACUGUGACUGCCCACCAGGCCCUUCCUUGGCCUGCUGCAUUUUCUCCUGACUUGCUUCUGCUCAAAUGCCAUACCCCACCAGAUGGCAGUGUGCGUAUGGGAACCAAAGCAACAGCUCCUGGGAUCACCAGCACACGAUUUUGCAGGCUGGAGAGCAGGAGAAGGACCACUGACCCUCUUGUCAAAGAGGGGAAUGAGGAGAUAAGGGGUCCUCUAUCUUGCUGAAGAGUCACCAACCACCCUGGUGAGCUGCUAAGGGGAGGCUUGUCCAGGAGUGCUGGGCCCAAUGGUGGCGGGUCUCUUCUCUCUCCCAGGGUCAGAUCCACCCUGCCCUGCCUGGUGCUUAGGCUCCUGUGGUCCUGGGUGGGGUCCAGAUGGACCAUAGGCCCUCAGGACACCCCAACAUCGGGGAACACCACUCCCCACCCCCACCUGACUCCUGUGCAGCCAGCUCUGUGUUUGGAGCUUGUCCCCACCUCUCAGAUUAAAGCUGCUUCUGGGUAGCUCUCCCCUGUCUAUCUGUUUCAUCCUGUCUCCUGGGCCCUGCAGCAUGAGUGAGUUGCAUAGUUCCGGAGCCUGUUCUCAUUAGCCCCUACAGCUCAGCCUCACUGACCUGGCCGCUUCCCUAGGCACAACUUUUUAUGUCCCCCAUAGUGCCCUGAAGAACAGGGCCCAGAGAAGCGGACAGCAGCCUACUUCCAUCCCAUUCUCAGAGCACUGGGGCUGGACUGUAAAGAAAGUUAAUAGAUGGGCAGUGGCGGGGUUUGCCUGACUUUGGCUCUGUGAGGCCUUUCAUCUUGGGGGAUAAGCUUCUGUUUUACUCAGGGGUCUUUUGUGUGCAAGGAGCAGAGCACCCCAAGAAAGGAAGGCAAUAAGCAGGAAAUCUGAGUCUUCCCAAAGCCCAAGGACAGGGCCAUACCCGAACAGUGCAGGGAGUCAAGAGCCUGGGCUGGAAGCUGCUCGCAGAUCCCUCAUAGCUGGAGGACCUCAGUGGCAGGUACUGACGUUCCUCACUGCAGUGCUGUCACUAACCUGACUGAGCAUUCCCUGUGUGUCCGCUUCUCCUCUUUCAC